UACGUAGGGUGCAAGCGUUGCCCGGAUUUACUGGGCGUAAAGAGCGCGCAGGCGGUCGUGCAAGUCGCGUGUGAAAGCCCCCGGCUCAACUGGGGAGGGUCACGCGAUACUGCUCGACUCGAAGGCAGGAGAGGGAAGUGGAAUUCCCGGUGUAGUGGUGAAAUGCGUAGAUACCGGGAGGAACACCAGUGGCGAAGGCGACUUCCUGGCCUGUUCUUGACGCUGAGGCGCGAAAGCUAGGGUAGCAAACGGG
rnacentral:rRNA from 1 species